rnacentral:tRNA from 1 species
GGUGGCUUAAAGUAGAGCACUUGCUUUGCAUGCAUGAGGCCCUGGGUUCGAUUCCUCAGCACCA